UACAGAGGUCUCAAGCGUUGUUCGGAUUCAUUGGGCGUAAAGGGUGCGUAGGCGGCGCGGCAAGUCGGGUGUGAAAUCUCGGAGCUUAACUCCGAAACUGCAUUCGAUACUGCCGUGCUUGAGGACUGGAGAGGAGACUGGAAUUUACGGUGUAGCGGUGAAAUGCGUAGAUAUCGUAAGGAAGACCAGUGGCGAAGGCGGGUCUCUGGACGGUUCCUGACGCUGAGACGCGAAAGCGUGGGGAGCGAACAGG
rnacentral:rRNA from 1 species